GAGCGGUAUUGUUUCUUCGGAAACGAGAGAGCGGCGCACGGGUGCGGAACACGUGUGCAACCUGCCUUUAUCUGGGGGAUAGCCUUUCGAAAGGAAGAUUAAUACCCCAUAAUAUUUUGAAUGGCAUCAUUUAAAAUUGAAAACUCCGGUGGAUAGAGAUGGGCACGCGCAAGAUUAGAUAGUUGGUAGGGUAACGGCCUACCAAGUCGGUGAUCUUUAGGGGGCCUGAGAGGGUGAUCCCCCACACUGGUACUGAGACACGGACCAGACUCCUACGGGAGGCAGCAGUGAGGAAUAUUGGACAAUGGGUGAGAGCCUGAUCCAGCCAUCCCGCGUGAAGGACGACGGCCCUAUGGGUUGUAAACUUCUUUUGUACAGGGAUAAACCUUUCCACGUGUGGAAAGCUGAAGGUACUGUACGAAUAAGCACCGGCUAACUCCGUG
rnacentral:rRNA from 1 species